AGCAGCCGCGGUAAUUCCAGCUCCAAUAGCGUAUAUUAAAGUUGUUGCAGUUAAAAAGCUCGUAGUUGAAUUUCGGGGUCAAUAAGUUGGUCGUGCCAAUGGUAUGCACUGGCUUUAUUGAUUCCUACCUCUUGACGAACUGUGAUGCCAUUAAUUUGGUGUCGCAAGGAAUCAGGACUGUUACCUUGAAAAAAUUAGAGUGUUUAAAGCAGGCUUACGCUUGAAUACAUUAGCAUGGAAUAAUGAAAUAGGACGUUUGAACCUAUUUUGUUGGUUUCUAGGAUCGACGUAAUGAUUAAUAGGGAUAGUUGGGGGCAUUAGUAUUCAAUUGUCAGAGGUGAAAUUCUUGGAUUUAUUGAAGACUAACUACUGCGAAAAGCAUUUGCCAAGGAUGUUUUCAUUAAUCAAGAACGAAAGUUAGGGGAUCGAAGACGAUCAGAUACCGUCGUAGUCUUAACCAUAAACUAUGCCGACUAGGAAUCAGACGAUGUUAAUUUUUAAUGACUCGUUCGACGCCUUAA
rnacentral:rRNA from 1 species